rnacentral:lncRNA from 1 species
CAACGCAGGGCAGCAGCAGUGGGUGGUAUGGCACUAACAGCUCCUUAACAUCCUGCAGAGCAAGGAAAAAAGUUUUCCAGGCAGUUGUCUGAGGAAAAGCUAAGGCAGAACAAAAAUCUGCUUUCCCAGCUGCAUGGGACAUUGCGGGAGGACAUCCAUGCACUGGACAUUGCCCAGAAGGUACCUGCCAUUCCUACCAGAUGCGCCCCUGCUCCUCUGCUGGGUCCCUCCAGGAGCAAAUACCAGCUCUGUAGAGCAGCAGUAGGCAGUGACAGCACCCAGACAGACACUGAUCUCUCUGUCCCUCUCCUGCCUGCAGCAUGACCAGCGCAUAUUCUCUGAGUUUUGCAGAGCGCAGAAGUACGUGUGUGGCAAAACUGUGCAGGGGGCCCGAGAGAAGCUCCGGAGCAGCAUCUUCGAUCGGGUGAAUGCCUGCAAUGCGCUGCUGCAUGAGGUGAGGCAGAGGAGCCAGGCCCGGGAUGCGCUGCGGUGGCAGCUGCAGCAGCUGCUGGAUGUCAGGAUUGAUGACAAGCGGCACCAGGAGCAAGUGCAGGUACGCAGAUCCUUCCCAAUCCCAGCACAGCCCAGACUCAACACGCUGGGUCACCCCAUGUCCCACCCGCAGACGAUUCGCCAGCUGGAGAACAACGUUGAGAAGAUGCACAUGAAAAUCCACGCCGGGCAGAAGGUGACCACGCUGUACCUGGCACUGCGGGAUGUCCUGAAGAAGGAGCUGGACUAUCUGCUUCUGCACCUGGAGCUCCUGUACACCAUGGCUGGGGCGUACCACGGGGA